GAACAAUUUCCACAGCACAACCCCGGAAGGCUUUUAAAUCCCAUACAAUACGACUCUAUCUUCUUGUUAAACAAUGCCACAGAUGAACAAGAACACGAAUGUAAAGACGAUGCAAACGAUACGUUUUUCAUGUCUGAAGUUCUGGAACCGAUACAAUCCGACCAAGAGUCUUCGAUUGUAUCUAACAAAGUCAUGACAUGUAAAAUUGAUGAUUUAAGUAGGUCCUCACUCCGUUGGUCGGUGGAUGAGCGAAUGGAAUCAGGGACUGGAACUAUAUUACCGGCUGUUAAAAUGGAACAAUUUAACGAAUUGUUGACUAAUAUCGAUGAAUCCUUUACUGCAGUCGACAUCAUUCGUAUGUUACGUACGCAAUAUACGGACGAACAAGGAGCUUGCAGUGAUGAAUCUGAGCACGAUCAAAUAUAAUUUUAUUUAUUAA